rnacentral:lncRNA from 1 species
CUCCUCCGCCGCCUUUUUCUUUCCUCCCCUUCCUGCGCCCGGCUCUCCUCCCUCUCGCCCUCCUCCGCCUCAGUUCUCCUCCUCUUCUUCCGCUCUUGCCGCCCGGCCUCCUCCUCUCCCGGUCUUCCUUCUCCCACUCCCGCUCUCUCUCUUGUCGACGGGCUCGGAGUCCUGCGCCACCCGUGCCGGGCCGAGAGGAGCCCGCGUCCGGGAGUGGGCUCCACGCGCAGCCCCUGCCCCGGAGCCUCCCGCCCGGUGCUCACCUCCUAACCCCUCAGCACCCGCAGCAGGGAGCCCCUUCCCCAUCCUCAGGACCCCCGGUGUCUCCAGGGCACGACGCCCGUGUUUUAGCUGCCUGUACCAGCUUGAGGUUUCACCUGGCCAAAAUGUCACUUUCAUCACGUGUGCACUAAAAGACCUAGCCCCUAGACCUUCCUACAGGAGGAAGAGAGCGAUUUUUAAAUAAUUAAGCAUUGACCCUUUCCCCUACCUUCUCUUCUUGACCUAUACCUUAUUUCACCUGCGUGUGGUAGAGACUUUUAAUUUGUACGUCGGGCAUUUAUCACCACGUGGGAUGGUUAAAGGACUUGUCUUAGGUAUUUAUCCCGUUAUUCAAUGGCCACCAGAGCGACGAUGUUGAUUAUCAGGCUUUCUUGAUUUUACAAGUCCAGGACCUUAAUUUAGAAAUCAUUUUGCAUCCCAAGCUAAUUACUGCAAUACUGUCAGGUGCAGAGUGCAGCCAGUACGUUUGUAACUUACCAAGUAAAACUGCCUGUGAAAGAGUAGCGGGCAUGGCUAUGCAAAGGACGCAGGUGGGGAUGCACCAGCUAAUCACUCGCUGAAUAUUUAUCAGGUCUGCCUGGAGGCCGCUAAAAUACAUAAGGGAAAUAAUCAUUUCUCAGCGUUUCAUUGGUGUUUUGUUUUAUUUGCCAGAUUCACGAAAUCCCCAAAACGACUUUACGAGCUAAAGAGACCAAGAAAGAGAACACGUUUGAUCCUUCAAUAAAUUUAUGUUGAAAAAAA